CCCGUAACGAGCGCAACCCUUGUCCUUAGUUACCAGCACGUUAUGGUGGGCACUCUAAGGAGACUGCCGGUGACAAACCGGAGGAAGGUGGGGAUGACGUCAAGUCAUCAUGGCCCUUACGGCCUGGGCUACACACGUGCUACAAUGGUCGGUACAGAGGGUUGCCAAGCCGCGAGGUGGAGCUAAUCUCACAAAACCGAUCGUAGUCCGGAUCGCAGUCUGCAACUCGACUGCGUGAAGUCGGAAUCGCUAGUAAUCGCGAAUCAGAAUGUCGCGGUGAAUACGUUCCCGGGCCUUGUACACACCGCCCGUCACACCAUGGGAGUGGGUUGCACCAGAAGUAGCUAGUCUAACCUUCGGGAGGACGGUUACCACGGUGUGAUUCAUGACUGGGGUGAAGUCGUAACAAGGUAGCCGU
rnacentral:rRNA from 1 species